AUUGAACGCUGGCGGCAGGCCUAACACAUGCAAGUCGAGCGGAUGAAGGGAGCUUGCUCCUGGAUUCAGCGGCGGACGGGUGAGUAAUGCCUAGGAAUCUGCCUGGUAGUGGGGGAUAACGUCCGGAAACGGGCGCUAAUACCGCAUACGUCCUGAGGGUGAAAGUGGGGGAUCUUCGGACCUCACGCUCUCAGAUGAGCCUAGGUCGGAUUAGCUAGUUGGUGGGGUAAAGGCCUACCAAGGCGACGAUCCGCAACUGGUCUGAGAGGAUGAUCAGUCACAUUGGAACUGAGACACGGUCCAGACUCCUACGGGAGGCAGCAGUGGGGAAUAUUGGACAAUGGGCGAAAGCCUGAUCCAGCCAUGCCGCGUGUGUGAAGAAGGUCUUCGGAUUGUAAAGCACUUUAAGUUGGGAGGAAGGGCAGUAAGUUAAUACCUUGCUGUUUUGACGUUACCAACAGAAUAAGCACCGGCUAACUUCGUG
rnacentral:rRNA from 1 species